AAUGAACGCUGGCGGCAUGCCUUACACAUGCAAGUCGAACGGUAGCAUUAUCUAGCUUUCUUUCUUGAUGGCGAUUGGCUGUCUUGUGAGUAAUGCAUCGGAACGUGCCUUUUUAUGGUGGCUAACGUAUCGAGAUUUACUCUCAUACCGCAUAUUCUCUGCGGAUGAAAUCAUGAUACCUUCUGUCCUUGCGCUAAAAAAUCGGCCGAUGUCUGAUUAGCUAGUUGGUGAGGUACUGGCUCAUCAAGGCAACGAUCAGUAGCGGGUCUGAGAGGAUGAUGCGCCACACUGGGACUGAGACAAGGCCCAGACUCCUAAGGUAGGCAGCAGUGGAGAAUUUUGGACAAGGGGCGCAAGCCUGAUACAGCAAUGCGGAGGGAGCGAAGAAGGCCUGAGGGGUGGAAAGCGAUUUAGGCUGGGAAGAAAUCGCAUCCUCUAAUACGGGGUGUGGAUGACGGUACCAGAAUAAGAAGCACCGGCUAACUACGUG
rnacentral:rRNA from 1 species